CAGCAGGACACAUUGACAGGGCUGCUGGAUCCGUACCAUGAACAGAAACCAAUAUAAACAUGGCUGACUCGUGAGGGGGACUUCACACAGUGACUCCAGCAAGUGCCCUCAAAACGAAAGUGAUGCUGAGUGCAAACACAAGACACGCAGAGCAACGCCAUGUUGUUAGAUUUAACUGGAUACAGCAGGAGAGCUAAAGGCUAACCGGCUAACAACGACAUCAAUCGAGAGAUCGUGUUCAGUCACAACCACAGAGAAGCGAUGACAUGUCAACAAUCAGCCAGUCUCGUUUGCAUACGAUGCUAUAACGUUGUGCUGUUAGCUCCCACGAGCUGUGUUGACAGCCGACAAAACACAACGAGAGACGGUUAUAAAAUAAGCUACAGAAUAAAAGCAAAAAACAAACCCACCAGGCAAUGAUCUAAACCAGCGUGAAGUCGAUACCCGACGUCACAGCGAUCAAAGCGAUCGAUCUGUUAUGAUGAUAACAGUUAGCUAGCAGCUCCUAGCUAGCGUCUCCUGGCUAUUUGUGGCUAGCUGAAGCAGAAGCAGUCGGUUGCUUUCGCCUCGGGACUCGCACUAACCGUGAUAGACGCUGUCCUCAGUAAGGUGCCGGUUGACCACGCGGGAUUUUCAUUGAUUGUUGACAAGAGGAGACCUGUUUCCCGUAAACAAACAAAGAGACGAGGCUGGACACUGUCAGAACUGACAGCAAGAGACUGACAAGUGUUAGUUGUUUUUAGAGACAGAUCCUCUGAUGCCCAACAACCUGUCCUGACUGCUCCUGCUGCUGAAUGUGGAGCGUGACACACCUUCUUGCUGAGGUAUUAAAAGAGCAGGGGUCUUCAACGUUUUUCAGGCCAAGGACCCCCAA